UCAUAUGUUGAAAAUCCAUUUCUCAUUAGAAAUGUAUAUCGCUUGGCAAUUAAUACAAUUCAAUUUAUUAUUUACAUUGAACAUUGAAAAUGCUCAAUUAACAGUGAUCCAUUGAUAGAUGGACAAGGUUUCCGCUUCCCAUUGUCUGACGAGAUCUGAGACAAUAUGGCCCUGUGAACGAUUUUGUAACGGGCCACAGCGCUUUUCCUUCUCGAUACCGUGGAAUCCAUAGUGACCCAUGUGUCUGGGCAAUACUAUCUGCAGGCACAAAAAGAGGGACUUCGAUAAAUUUUUGUAUAACCUAACCUAUUAAGCAGAAAAAAACCAACCGCAUUGUGGAACUAUAGAAUGUCAACUAAUUUCAUUCGUCAUCUUUAAAGUUCUUGGUAAAACCAUAUAGGGUUUCCUCAUUUCUGAGCAAAUAAAUUAUCAAUACUAAUAUAA